AGCAGCCGCGGUAAUUCCAGCUCCAAUAGCGUAUAUUAAAGUUGUUGCAGUUAAAAAGCUCGUAGUUGAAUUUCGGGGUUAGCAGGUCGGUCGUGCCAAUGGUAUGCACUGGCUCGCUGACUCCUCCUUCCUGAUGAGCCGUAAUGCCAUUAAUUUGGUGUUGCGAGGAAUCUGGACUGUUACUUUGAAAAAAUUAGAGUGUUUAAAGCAAGCUAACGCUUGAAUACAUUAGCAUGGAAUAAUGAAAUAGGACGUUCGGUCUUAUUUUGUUGGUUUCUAAGAUUGACGUAAUGAUUAAUAGGGAUAGUUGGGGGCAUUAGUAUUCAAUUGUCAGAGGUGAAAUUCUUGGAUUUAUUGAAGACUAACUACUGCGAAAGCAUUUGCCAAGGAUGUUUUCAUUAAUCAAGAACGAAAGUUAGGGGAUCGAAGACGAUCAGAUACCGUCGUAGUCUUAACCAUAAACUAUGCCGACUAGGGAUCGGAUGAUGUUAAUUUUUUAAUGACUCA
rnacentral:rRNA from 1 species